UGUAGCUGGAAUUCUGAGACCCUGUCCCGCAGUGAUGAAGAAUGAAAUCACAGAUGAAGGAGGUCAUGCAAACUGCUGCACACAAGGCACCUUGAGGAGAAGGGCAGGAACUCAAAAGAGGUUCAACCGCAGAGUACUGAGUUCCUUUGAAUUGUUGAUGGAACUUUGGGUUGUUUCCAGUUUGGGGCCAUUCCAAGUAAAUCUGUGCAUGAGAACCCAGUUGUGGCACCUUUUCACCAACAUUUAAGGUAGUGUGUCUCUUUAAUUUAGCUAUCCUUAUACAUGUGCAGUGGUAUCUCAUUGUGGUUUUAUUUGUAUUUCCCUAAUGAAUAAUGACUU